rnacentral:rRNA from 1 species
GACGAACGCUGGCGGCGUGCUAAACACAUGCAAGUCGAGCGGAAAGGCUCCUUCGGGGGUACUCGAGCGGCGAACGGGUGAGUAACACGUGAGUAAUCUGCCUCUGGCUUCGGGAUAGCCCUCCGAAAGGGGGAUUAAUACCGGAUAUGACCAGCUACUGCAUGGUGGUUGGUGGAAAGUUUUUUCGGCCAGGGAUGUGCUCGCGGCCUAUCAGCUUGAUGGUGGGGUAAUGGCCUACCAUGGCUUCGACGGGUAGCCGGCCUGAGAGGGUGACCGGUCACACUGGGACUGAGACACGGCCCAGACUCCUACGGGAGGCAGCAGGGGGGAAUAUUGGACAAUGGGCGGAAGCCUGAUCCAGCAACGCCGCGUGAGGGAUGACUGCCUUCGGGUUGUAAACCUCUUUCAGUACCGACGAAGCGAAAGUGACGGUAGGUACAGAAGAAGCACCGGCCGACUACGUGCCAGCCGCCGCCGUAA